rnacentral:rRNA from 1 species
GACGAACGCUGGCGGCGGGCUUAACACAUGCAAGUCGAACGGUGAAGGGAUCAGCUUUCUGGUUCUGGGUGAGUGGCGAACGGGCGAGUAACACGUGAGUAACCUGCCCCCUUCUUCUGGAUAACCGCAUGAAAGUGUGGCUAAUACGGGAUAUUCUGGCUCUGUCGCAUGAGGGGUCUGGGAAAGAUAUUGUUGCGGUGGGGGAUGGGCUCGCGGCCUAUCAGCUUGUUGGUGGGGUGAUGGCCUACCAAGGCGGUGACGGGUAUCCGGGCUGAGGGGGUGGAACGUUAGACUGGGACUGAGACACGGACCAGUCUGCGACGGGGGGCAGCAGUGGGGAGUAUUGCACGAUGAGCGCAAGCCUAAUGAAGCGACGCCGCGUGAGGGAUGGAGGGCUUCGGGUUGUAAACCUCUUGCGCAAGUGAAGCAGGCCUGCUACUUGUGGGUGGGUUGACGGUAGCUGGAUAAGAAGCGCCGGCUAACUACGUG